UACAGAGGUCCCGAGCGUUGUUCGGAUUCACUGGGCGUAAAGGGUGCGUAGGUGGCAGGGUAAGUUUGAUGUGAAAUCUCCGGGCUUAACCCGGAAACUGCAUUGAAUACUAUCCUGCUUGAGGGUUGGAGGGGGGACUGGAAUUCUCGGUGUAGCAGUGAAAUGCGUAGAUAUCGAGAGGAACACCAGUGGCGAAGGCGAGUCCCUGGACAACACCUGACACUGAGGCACGAAAGCUAGGGGAGCAAACGGG
rnacentral:rRNA from 1 species